UACGUAGGUGGCAAGCGUUGUCCGGAAUUAUUGGGCGUAAAGCGCGCGCAGGUGGUUCUUUAAGUCUGAUGUGAAAGCCCACGGCUCAACCGUGGAAGGUCAUUGGAAACUGGGGAACUUGAGUGCAGAAGAGGAUAGUGGAAUUCCAAGUGUAGCGGUGAAAUGCGUAGAGAUUUGGAGGAACACCAGUGGCGAAGGCGACUAUCUGGUCUGUAACUGACACUGAGGCACGAAAGCAUGGGGAGCAAACAGG
rnacentral:rRNA from 1 species